rnacentral:rRNA from 12 species
AAAAUACGACUCUCGGCAACGGAUAUCUCGGCUCUCGCAUCGAUGAAGAACGUAGCGAAAUGCGAUACUUGGUGUGAAUUGCAGAAUCCCGUGAACCAUCGAGUCUUUGAACGCAAGUUGCGCCCGAAGCCGUCAGGCCGAGGGCACGUCUGCCUGGGCGUCACG